GCUACUUUUUAGCCACGAUCUCUAUCUUCUUAUACCCAUAUAUAAGAUUCGACACUCAAACAGCAAAAAAUUUCUCAAUCGAUCCAAAACAAAAUAUGAGUCUCAUCUUCCAAGGCUGUAAAACUUUGAUCCAAAAUCGCUGAUACAUUUAUGUACGGUUGUAGGGGCGAGAGGAACCUGAAGUGUUGAAGAUGAUAUGAUCAAACGCCUAAGACAGAACUUACUGAGAUGUUUGAUGCAACAACUAACACCCUCUUGGCUGCCAGAAAGUAUGAAUUCUAAAACAAUCACAAUCAAAUUCGUCUAUGAAAUUGUUCUUAAAGGUGAAGAUCAUAUAAAUGAAUUACAUAUAACGUGAGAAGCCACUGCUCAGAGAGCAGAUUAAGAAAAAAAAAAAAGACAGGUAGAGCGAUAAUACAUAGUACAAAACUAAAACAAGAAAUUAUUAAACUAAUUUUGUACCUUAAUUUUUUUCGUCUUCCAUUGUACUUUAUUUUUAUAGGAAUAAUUAUUUCUGCUCUAUUUGAAUUAAAACAUAUAUUUGUACUCAACGAACGAAUUUAGGAUUUUUUUU